rnacentral:lncRNA from 1 species
UGUCGUAUAUUUUUUUAGAUUUUAUUAUUUUGGUGGUUAGGGAGAAAAAAAAUGGUAUUUGGGAAUAAAUUGUUACUUACUUGUAGAUGUUUUAAAUGUUUAAAAAGAAAUAAAAGAAUGAUGGGUAAAAAAUAAAUAAAUUAUUUGAUCAAAGUUUUCUUUUCCAAUAGCUUGGUAUUUCGAAUUAUUUCCAAAGAGAAAUCAUUUUUAUAUCUCCUAUAAAAUAUAAUAAAAACUUGCAAGCUGAGGUAGGGGAUGUGNUUUUUUUUUUUUUUUUUUGGGUCUCUUUUUGUAAUUUGGACAUGAAUAAGGAAAGAGGCCAAAAUGUAAAUUGAUUUAUGUGGUACGCAAUCAACUACCUUAGGGGCGAAUUGACUCGUUGUAAUUAUAAAUACAGUAUAGCUAAAAAUAUUAUUAUUCAAUUUUUUACAUUUAUAAAAUUUUAUAAUUUUAUUUAUGAAGUUGUGGCAUUAUCUCUUAUGAACGAAAAAAAAUUGUUUAAGAAAUUAUUAGAAAGGUAAACAAAUCUUUUAUUUAAAGUUAGUCUCUUCAGCUGAUAUAGUUGGAAGUACUAGCAAUUUGAGUAUAUUUCCAUCUAUUACAAUUGAGCUUCUUCGUGUAUUUUUAACUAUAGUAGUUAAAUUUAAAUACAUUAAAUUAAUUUUAUUUAUAUUUAUAGCUGUAAAGUAGGUGCAAUUACAUACAAUUAAACUGUCCUUUAGCUUAAACUAGUAUAGGAUCCGCGCUUCGCAGCUGGUAGAUAGUAUUUCAGUCAAUUAAUAUAUAUAAUUUUUAAAAUUUUAAAAUUGAAAAAACUUGUAAUGAAGAAUACAAAACAAACUUAUAUAUCCUUUUAUAUAUUAUAAAAACUAUUUUUUUAAUAAUAAUUUUAACUUCAAGUAUUUGUAGAGUUAAAGUAUCGUAAUAACUUUACUUAAAAAUUCAAUCAAACUUAAUAAUUUUAAUAGCUAUUUCAUAAAUAAAUUUUUAUUUUAAAAAUUAAAAUUGGAGAAAUUAUUCUAAACUACCAAAUACAUAAGAUCGUCUUUACCUUACUAAAAUUUAUUAGAAAAAAAAUGUUAUUAUUUGCACAUGGUAUAUUAAUACACACCAUAUAUCGUAAUUUAUAUUAGAAAACUAAUUUCUAAUAUCAAAAUAUAAUUAAAUAAUCUAGGCUAUGAGGUCUAAUAAUUUAAAUAUAUUUGCUGAAUUAAAUUUUAAAUUCACUAUUAGAGAUUUGAAGCAUGUGGUGUAUGUAAUUAUAUACAUUUAGUGUAGAGAAUGGACUUUUUUCGAAACUAACCCUGUGAAAUUACAUAUUUGCCAAACUAACCCUGUGAAAAUUUUAUUUGUGAAACUAACCUUCCUCUCGCCACCUCAGCGGCCAGAUCAGCAUUUCUCAUAAAGACGGUGAUUCGUUCACCGUCUAUAAGUAUAGCUCUUGAAGACGGUAAAUGGUUAACCGUCUUAUUCAGACGGUAAAUCGUUAACCGUCUUCUCUAGGCGUAGCAUGCCGCCUUUUCAGCAAUUCCCCGCGCACCCUACCACCUUCUCAGCAAUUCCCCGCGUGGCACAAGGUGCCUAUAUAAGACGGUUAACUGUUUACCGUCUUCUAAAAGACGGUAAACAAUUUACCGUCUUAUCUCCCUAGCCAGCCUANUGUAGUAUUACACGAAAGACGGUGAACGAGUCACCGUCUUUGUGAUAUAUGCUGAUGUGGCAGCUGAGGUGGCGAGAGGAGGGUUAGUUUCACAAAUAAAAUUUUCACAGGGUUAGUUUGGCAAAUAUGAAAUUUCACAGGGUUAGUUUCAAAAAAAGAGAAUACUUAACUAUGGACCGAGCUCUUUGAAAAGCUCUUUUUCAUAGUUCUAGAAAAGAGACCAGAAAUUUUUACUUGCACAUGAUAUAUACUAAUAUUUCAUGUAUCGUAAGUAUAUUAAAUGAUUGAUAAAAAUAUCAAAUAGUUAUUAUCAUAAAAUAAAAUAUGAUAGAAUAUAAUAUAAUAUAAAAUAUAAAAUAUUUUAAAAUUUUAUUAUAUUAUAGAAAUUUAUUUUUUAUUCAUAUUUUAUAUCUGGUCUACGGCGCAAUUGACGCGUCGAAAAUUUGUAUUGAGUGUGUGACAUGUUCUUAUUGGCUAGGGACUAUAAUGCAGGAUCGACUCCUCCACAAGCUACCUUUAUGAUGUGGCUGAACCGUCAAAUUAUAUAUUCUAUAUAAUAUGGCAGAAGUUAUAUAGGUAGAAAACUACAUGUCGCGCGUUCACAUCAAAUGCCUUUUUUGGGCCUCUUUUAGUUCUAUUAUUUCUUUGGUAUUUUUCAUAAAUAAAAUUUUAUUAUGGUGUUAGAUGUACCCUUGCACUGUCACUGUCGUCGUUCAUGACCAUGUCCAUGAUCGUAUUUUUUGCCAUAGUCUCACCUCCACAAUCUGUGCCAUAUCUAAAUUGGCGUUGGCGAAGGUGUGCACGAGGUACGAGAGAGGAGCACGACAUCAAUGUAGGAGGCGGUGGAGGGAAGAGGAGAGAGAAGAGAAAGCAGAAGGAAAAAGGAGAAGAUGGAACGACGAGGAGGGAGACGAACAGGAAAGAAAAAAUAAGAGAACAAAAAAAGAAAGGGACAAAAAGGAAUAAAAAUAUUUUGAUUAAUUUUUAAAACAUCGAGUUGAAUCUGUAAAAUUAAAAAAAGUAGCUUCUUUUUGCAAAAAAUAUAAAGCCGGUAAAUUUUUUAUGCAAAAAAUCUUUAUUGCAACUAAGUCUUAUAAUUCAAUUUAGUUAAUUAAAUAUUGACUUGCUACUAAUAUGGAAGCAACGCCAUAGAAUUAUACUUGACGAAACAAUAAUAAUUAUAAUGCCACUUUACUUUCCAAUCAGCGAACCCGUCAACAUUUAGGGGUCGUUUGAUUCGAUAUAGUUACAUAAAUAGUGUGGUUGGAAAUACAUGUAGUUGCAAAUGCCGCAGUUAUAACUAUACCUAGUCUUUUUGGUUUUAUACAGUUGCAAUUAUUACAGUUACAUUUUUCUGUUUGGCAAGCUGCAAUUGAAAUUUGUAUUUAUAAAUUCUAUCAAUUUUUAGAUAGAAAUAUGAAAUUAUCUCUUCUAAAUAUAAUAUAAUCAUGAAAUCUUUUAAUUAUUAAUUAAGACUUUUAUAUCUAUAUAUAAUUUAUAUAUUAUAAAAUUAUGUAUGAAUUUAAUGAAUUUUAAAUGCAAACAUAUUAUAGAUUUGACCAAAAUAAAAACAUUAUUGAACUAGCAGACUGAUAAAAAAGGAACCGUAUAAAAUAAAUUUAUUGAACCCUAGCAGAUUUCAUAAAUAGGUAUUUCUUGAAAAAAGAAGUUAAAAAAAAAAAAAGAAAAAAGCGUAUGAAAAAAAAUCAUACUUCAUUUAUUUUUUUAAUGGGUGAGCCGACUCCGGCCCAACUGUUGCAGUUGGGCCUUCUCGUGCAGAUGUAAUUUUAGCAGUAGACGCUAACUACACCAAACCAAAUAAAAAUUUAAUAGAUGCACGCAUUUUCAAAAUGCAUGCAAUCAAACAGCUCCUUAGUCAUUUAAAUUGGAUUGUAAAAUUUAAUUGUGAUAAUUUUUAAAGUUUGAAUAAAAAAUUAUAACAAAUUAAAAUUUGACGUCGAAUGAGUCACCCGCCUAAUAGCUUGAGGACCAAAACUUUUAUUUAGCCAAAGUCCAACAAGCCCAAACAAUAAACUCAAAGCCCAAAUCAAAUGGGCCAAAGUAGCCCAUUGUAAAUCCAAGUGUUUUUAGGUAAUAAAAAAAUAAAAAAAUAAAAAAGAAACAAUUGCCAACGGAACUAUUAUUUAAAAGUUAUUAAAUUUAGAAAAAUGUUCAACUUAACAAAUAAGAAAACCUUCAAGAAAACUAACAAAAGUUGAGGGUGUAAAUUGAGGAAAUAAAGUUGAGAAGUAUACUUCAAAAUUUUGUACAAUUGAGGGGGCCUCAGUACAUUUUUUUGCUCUUUCUAUUUUGCCCUUUUGAUUUGAUUUAUAAUUUAGUGCGCGUUUGGCUUAUAUUCUUGAAAGUGAUUUUGGAGCCAAAAAUUAAUUUUCUUCCAAUAAAGUAUACGAAAAUUUUUUUAAGAAAAACCUAAUUCUGAUUUUAACGAUCAGUUUUCUGAAUUUUAGAGGCCUAAAAACAGAAGCAUUUAAAAACAACAUUUACUCAAAAUAAAUUCUGCAAAAAAUUUAUUAAUUUUGCAUUUUUGUGAAAUCGGAGUUUUUUAUUUAAAAAAAAAAAUUUACAGAUUUGCGUCGAAUCUUUUAGAAACUGACCAAAAUAUUUUUAUUCUCUCCUCUCGUGCUUGCAUGUCAUAAGCAUGCUUCUCCCCUACCUCGUCUAUGUCUCUACAUCUCCGCUGUUGUCGACGGUGACGACGUAAGCUCGAAUGCGACACAUACUGUGGAGGUGAGGGCGUGAGUAGCGGCGGGACGCAGUGGGGUGCCGGAGCUAGAGGAGGAGGAGGAGAACGGAAAAGCAAAAAGGCGAAUAUAGAGGAAAGGAACUUCAAUGUUCUCUUUCUCCGUUUUUUUUUUUUAAUAUUUUUUAUUCUUUCUCCGUUAAAAAGAAUAAAAUAAAAUAUUAUACUAUUUGACCAUAUGCUAUGCUAAUUAAUUAGUGAACUGACCGUGAAAUAGUGUAAUAAAUUGUUUCGAUUUCAACUACUUAGGGUAAAAUACACUUUUGGUCUUCAAACUAUGAGUCGCAUGAUAUUUUGGUAUUCAAAAUUUAAUUUAUUAUAAUUUUUUAUACCAAAAUUUAAAUUUAUCACAACUAAAUCGUACAAUUCAAUUUGGUUGGUUGAAUAUUGACAAAUUAUUUACGUACAUAUGAUGUAGCACAAUCCAAUUUUGAGUUUCGGAUUUUUAGUCGGAUUUGAUUUUGAAUAUGAAUUCAAAACACAUUGGGUUUGGAUUUUGAUUUGGAUUUUGAGUUUGAUGGUCAGGUUUGGAUUCGAAUAUUUUAAUAUUCGUCUCGAAUCUAACACGGUCAAAAUUAAUCAGCAUGCAAGGUACAUAAUUUUCUUUUCACGAGUAAUUUUCAAAAGAAUAUUUGAGAAUAAUCAUGAUAUUAAUCCUAAAUAUUUUCAUAGUUUUUUAAGGAAUCGGUUAAAAUCCAAUCAAAUCACCAUAUGAAAAAAAAAAAAAAUAAAAGUUCAACUUUGAAAUUACCCCUUUGAUUUUUUUUAGUGGAUUUUUUUAAUAAAUUUUUCAAUCCACCAUGUGGGCAAAUCAUUUAUUAAAGUUUUCUCCACAGUAUUAGUAGAAUUUUAAUUAGUAUGUGAUUAGUUUUUACUGUGAAACUCCAUUUCCUUUUCUUAAAUAUCAUAUGAAGAUCUUAAUUAACUUCGGCCAAUUUGCAUAAAAAAUUCAUUAGUUUUCAGCUUUUGUAAAAAUGGGCCGCCAAUUUGGAUUUUGCAAAUUCGGAUCGAAUUUUCAAAAAACUGACCAAAAUACGCUCAUUCUUUUUUCUCUCUUCCCUUUCUUUUCUCUAGUUGUUUUUUUUUCUCUCUCUCUGAAGAAGGUGGUGGAGGUGGAGACAGAGGCGGAGACGGAGGCGGCCUGCCUUGUCUCUGUCCUUCGCCCGCGCACCAUCGCUCCGCCCUCUCCCUCGCCUGCGCACCAUCGCUCCGCCUUCCUCGCCUCCGAUCCCGCCGAGGCCCGCACCUCAACUCUCGUUUUUUUUUUUUUUUCAGCCCUCCAGGACGCCUCCUCACCAGCCUCCGAUGCUAUUUACAAUAGUAAAGUGAGCAGCACAACGAUACUCUUCCUCUCACUUUUUUUUCUCAUCGAUUUCUUUUUUUUUUUUUUUCUUUCAAUCCCCUUUACCACCUUCGCGACCCUCUACGCCGGUAAUGAGGACAGCGCCUAUCCACCUCCUCUGCCUUCGCCAGCAGAGGCACCGACAACGAUGCCGAAGAAAGAGGACUCGAAGUAAAUGCAGAUAAGAGCGGAGCCAAAGAAAAAAUAUGUAUAAAAUAAAAAAAUAAAUAGAAUAAGAAUAAAAUAUAAAAAAAUAUUUUUUGUACAAAACAAAAUAAAGAAUCAGAGAAAAAAAAAGAAGAUGAUGAAUAUACACUAUUUCAGAAAACUGUUGCACUAUUUCAAAGAAACGUUGCCUUAUAUUUUUAGAAAAUAUACCCUCUUUGAGAGAACAAAAAAUACUUUCUGAAUAAAAAUUGUACUCUUUGAACGAAAGUUACAUUUUUUGAAUGAAAAUUAUACUAUUUGGCCGAAAAUUGCACUAUUUCAAUAGAAAUAGAAAGAGGAGAAGGAGAAGAAAUAGAUAAUUUUUAUCCAAAUAGUGCACUUUUGGUUCAAAUAGUGCAAUUUUAAUUCAAAAAAUACAGCUUGCAUGUAAAAAAUAUAUUUUUUUCUCAAUGAGUAUAAAUUUUCUCUAAAACAGUGCAACGUCUUCCUAAAGCAGUGCAACUUUCUCCUAGAGUAGUGCAACAUUCUUCUUAGUGCAAAUUCAUUAUCUUAUUCUUUUCUAUUUGAUUUUUCAUUUUUCUCGUAGAAAUUUUUUUUUAUAUUUUUUAUUUUCUGCAUUAUUUUUUUUCGUCUCCGCUCUCACCUGCAUUUGCUCCGAAUCAUCCUUCUCCGGCACUAGCGUUGGUGCCUGCGACAGCGAAGGUGAAAGAGAGGAUGUGGCCCUGUUCUCGUUAUCGUCGUGGAGGGUUGCGGAGGCAGUAGAGGGGGAUGAAGAAAAAAAAAAACGAGAGAAAAAAAGAAGAGGAAGAGUACAUGACGCUGCCAUCUUUAGUAUUGUAAAGAGUUGGGAAAGCAGUGGAGGAGCGUUGGAGAGAAAAAAAAAAGAAAAAAUAAUCGAGACGCGGCCUCGAUAGGGUCGGAGACGAGAAAGGUGAAGAGAGGGUGCGCGGGCGAGGGCCUGCGAGAUAAGCGAGGUGAGCCACCUCCGCUUCCGCCGCCCUCUUCGGAGAGAGAAAAAAAAAAGAAUGAGAGAAAAAAAAAAAAAAAAGAGGAGAAAAAAAAAGAGGGAGAGAAAAGGGAAUAAGGAUAUCCGACUCGAAUCUGUAAAAUCUAAAAAAAUGACCUAUCUUGCAAAAGCUGAAAAUUAAUAAUUUUUUUAUGAAAAUUGGCCACUAACUUCAAAACACCUUUUUCUUUCCCAAAAAUUUAAACAAAAAAUUCCAAAAAAUUCUAGAACAAGAUGAGUUUGAAUAUCUUUUUAUCUUCAAUUGAAUAUCUUCUAAAAUUAAGGCUAACUUACAAAAAAAGCUCUUUGUCCAUUUUAGUCGUCGUUUCAAGUUAUCAGCAUCAGCAUAAAAAAUUACAUUAAUUAUCAUUCUAUAUUUCAAAAUCGAUUUUGAAAUAUAGUUAGUGAAUUUGGUUGCGAAGCUUCGCCAAAGUACAUUGGUAUAUCUCAUAAUUUUAUAUCUCUAUAUUUAUCUAAUUUGUAACUUAAAAACUAGAUUGAAAAAUUAGAUAAAAGAGAUUCUUAUUUUGUUAAUACUAUUAUGAUAGUUUUUGAGCAACUUUAUUCAAUUUAUAUGAUUACAAUUCAUUAGAUGUAAUUAAUUCUAUCUGUAAAUUUGUUUCUUAUUUCAUUUGGUUCGGGUAUAAAUAAGAACUAUCUAUUUUAGGGAUAUAUAUAAGUUCAGGUAUAAACCUGAAACAAAUCAAUUUUGCGUUUGAAUAAAAAUUAAGUUGUUUAUGAAAUAAGAAAAAUAACGUUUGCAUAGAUAAGAUAGAAUAAGAAUAAUAGUGGAUAGUUAUAAAUAAAAAAAAAUAAUAUUGCCCUUUAUAUUAUAUUUGAAUUUAAAANAAAAAAAAAAAAAAAAGAGGAGAAAAAAAAAGAGGGAGAGAAAAGGGAAUAAGGAUAUCCGACUCGAAUCUGUAAAAUCUAAAAAAAUGACCUAUCUUGCAAAAGCUGAAAAUUAAUAAUUUUUUUAUGAAAAUUGGCCACUAACUUCAAAACACCUUUUUCUUUCCCAAAAAUUUAAACAAAAAAUUCCAAAAAAUUCUAGAACAAGAUGAGUUUGAAUAUCUUUUUAUCUUCAAUUGAAUAUCUUCUAAAAUUAAGGCUAACUUACAAAAAAAGCUCUUUGUCCAUUUUAGUCGUCGUUUCAAGUUAUCAGCAUCAGCAUAAAAAAUUACAUUAAUUAUCAUUCUAUAUUUCAAAAUCGAUUUUGAAAUAUAGUUAGUGAAUUUGGUUGCGAAGCUUCGCCAAAGUACAUUGGUAUAUCUCAUAAUUUUAUAUCUCUAUAUUUAUCUAAUUUGUAACUUAAAAACUAGAUUGAAAAAUUAGAUAAAAGAGAUUCUUAUUUUGUUAAUACUAUUAUGAUAGUUUUUGAGCAACUUUAUUCAAUUUAUAUGAUUACAAUUCAUUAGAUGUAAUUAAUUCUAUCUGUAAAUUUGUUUCUUAUUUCAUUUGGUUCGGGUAUAAGUAAGAACUAUCUAUUUUAGGGAUAUAUAUAAGUUCAGGUAUAAACCUGAAACAAAUCAAUUUUGCGUUUGAAUAAAAAUUAAGUUGUUUAUGAAAUAAGAAAAAUAACGUUUGCAUAGAUAAGAUAGAAUAAGAAUAAUAGUGGAUAGUUAUAAAUAAAAAAAAAUAAUAUUGCCCUUUAUAUUAUAUUUGAAUUUAAAAUUUAAAAUUUUAUAUUUAAAUUAAAUUUAAAUAUAUAAUUUUAAAUUUUAAAAUUUUAAAUUUUAAAUCUCAAAUUCAAAAAUUCAAAGUUAUAAAUUUUAAAUUUUAAAAAUUUAAAAUAUCUAUUAAAAUUUAAAAUUUAAAAUAUAAAAUAAUAAAAUUUUAAUUUGAAGAUUACAAAUUAUAAAUUUUUAAAAUUAAAUUUUUAAAAAUUAAAUAGGGUUGCGAACAGUUUUUUCACCCCUAUUCCCACACAAGCGGUGGGAUCUCCCAACCAAACGGUAUCAUAAAGUUUUCGACUGAAUUCAAUAAUAAUUCUAAAAUUUUGAAUUUAUUUUAGAGGUAAUUUUUAAUAAAAUUUUGAAUUUAUUUGAGAGGUAAUUUUUAAUGCUAGGAAUAAUCGACACCGGAGAUUUUUUUACUUUAGCGUAAAAUAGAGGCUUUAAAAAUUAUAUUUACUCCUACUUAGUUUGAUCUAUAAUUAAUCUAUAUUUAAUUUGAAAGAGUAUAAAUAAUUUCUAAAAGAAUGUUAAAAUGCAUGAAUUAUUAUUUAUAGAGAAUGAAUUAUUCUUGUACAGUUUACGGUCAAUGUCACUUAUGUCAACACGUGGCUCUUUGUAGGUCAUAUAUUUUCCAAUUAAAAAAUAAUUUAGGGAGGUAUUAAAUUUACACAAAUACCGGAACGGCUGCGUUUGGUUUUAGAACUAAAUUUUAGAGAACAAUUUUUAUUAUUUUCGAGAAUAAGGAAUAUUCCGGUACAAGACAAAAAAAUUGUAAAUUUGUGUUUGGAUAUAUUCGGGAAUAUUCUAGAGGAUAUUUUUAAUAGCAUUUGGAUAUAAACUGUAGAACAAUAUCUAAAAAUNAUAUUUUUAAAAAUAAAAUAAUUAAUUAUAUAUAUAAUACUUAAUAUAAAAUAAAAUAAUUAAAUAUUAAUAUAUAAAUGAUAAAACUUAAUAAAAUAAAUAAUACAUCAAAUUUCAUUAAUUUAUAUUAUACAAUAAAAUUUAAGUAUAAAUAUAUUAUCAUAAAAAUAAUAUUUAUAUUAAUAUAUUUAUUUAUAUAUCUAUUUAUCCAAUAAAAUAAAGAGAAGAAUAAAAUUGCACUCAUUUUUUCUAGGAACAAUUUUUAACGGGAAAACAAUUCAAAACAAUCCACUUUGAUCGAAACAAUCUGUUCUGUCCUUUUCUUUUAUCGUUUGGUUAUAAAUUGGGGAUAUCUUGGAUUGUUCUGGAAUAUCCCGGUACCAAACGCAGUCUCUCUUAGUCUAAAUAAGUAAGAGUACAUAAAAGCUUGUUAUUUGUUGCCAAAAAUAUUCCACAUUCGAAACAUUUGUUUUAGGCUUGGUUUUUUUUAAAAAAAAAUUAAGCAACACAAUAUGUUGUAUUUUAGAGAGUUUUAAGAUAUUCAAAAUGCAAUUAUUUAUUCAUGAGAUAGGAAACCAUGAAUAGGUCAUAAAAUAUUAAGAAAAAGCCUGUUAGGAGGAUUAAAUCAUUCAAAUUAAACUUUUUUAACCGAUAUUUUCGAUAUUCUCCGAUUCAAUUUUCUUAAAGAUUUUUGGUUUUGGUCCAUUUUGGUUUGAUUUUGCCAAAUCAAAUUUUGGUUAUGUCGUCGAAUCCAUUUUUUUCUCUAAAAACUUAUUUGAUUGAUUUUUUUUUUUUUUUGAAGGAAUAGUAACAUGCUAUUGUUUCGUUUAUUUUUUCUGAAAAAAAUCCAGUUAAAAAUAUAAGACAAUUAGGUUUUGAAAUCGAGACAUCAGAUACCAGCUAUUAAACCAUUUGUCACAUGCGCUGGAAACGGUCGUGUAACAAUCAAAAUGUCAAUACUACUUUUAAAACAAAAUAUAAAUAAAAUUUAGGUAAACUUCAAAUUAAAAAAAUUUCACUAAUUUCAUUUUGAUACUUCAACAGACCCUCAAUGCAAUUCAAUAGUACACCAUGUUAGGGUACCAUUUUCUUAGGCAAUACAAUAAACCCUAAUGGACAUUUAUUUAUUUACUAAUAUAUCCAAAUCACAAAAGUGAUACCAAACUCUUUAUUUAUUUAUUAUUAUUAUUUUUUAUUAAACACCAUUCCCACGUGAACCCAAUGUACGUGCCCCAUUUUAGUGAUUUAUUUUAACCUCAUAAGUAAGUAAUUGCUCCCCCGAACAAGUUAAAAUGGGUAAAUACUAAAUAGUAAAAUAGUAAAUUAAAAGCAAAAAAUAAAGUUGGCGGGGUGAGGGAGUGACAAGAAAUUAAGGAGAGUAGCGAGGGGCGAAAAGGAAUUAGGGAGAGUAGCGAGGGGCGUUUUGUUUCUUUCUCCUUUUAUCCUCUUCGUUUUCUCGCCAAGUGGUGGGAAACAGAGAGAGAGAGAGAGAGGGAGAGGGGGGGAGAAGAGCUCUGAGGAGGCGGCAAUGGUGGAGCCAUUGGGAGAGGCGGCGGAGGCGUGCUUCGGCGACGACGUGUUCCUGCUCGACCUCGUCGACGCGAACGAGCGGCGCGCCCCGCGCGGCGGCGGCGGCGGCGGCGGCGGAGGAGCAAUGUUCCUCGACAUCUUCGACCACGCCGACGAGGGACUCGCGGUGCGUGACCCCUUAUCAGAAACCUAGUUUAUACAGAAAAAGAAAAGAAAAAGUCCGAUUUUUGAUGGCGUGGGAGCGUAAAAAUCCGAUUUUUAUGGUUUUUUUUUGUGUGUAGGAGGGAGGAGGAGGAGGAGGAGGAGGAGGGGGCGAGGAGGAGUUGGAGUGGCUCGCGAACAAGGACGCGUUCCCGGCGCUGGAGACGUCGUUCGACGCGGCGGAUGCGCCGGUGCUGGGGGCUUGGGCGUCGGCGCCUGCGGCUGCGGCGGCGGCGGCGGCGAGGGUGGCGGUGAGGCCGAGGAGCAAGGGGCGGGCGGCGGCGGCGGAGUGGCGAGGGGGGCGGCGGCGGCGGCGGUCCGGCGGGUCCGCGCGGCGGUGCAGGCACUGCGGCGGCGGAGGAGACCCCGCAGUGGCGGCGGGCCGGAGGGGCCGAAGACCGCUCGCAACGCGUGCGGCGUCCGGUUCAAGUCCGGGCGCCUUCGCCCGGAGUACGCCCCGCGCGCAGCCCCACCUUCGUCCCCGCCCUCCACUCCAACUCCCACCGCCGCAUCCUCGAGAUGCGCCGCCUCCACUCCCCCGCCGCCGCCGCCGCGCAGCGCGGCCGACGCGGCCGCGCCGCGGCAGCGCGCGCAGGCGCCGCUCCGCCCCUUCCUAAUCCCAUCUGUUAAUGGCGUCUCGUUUCCAUUUCCAUUCCUUUUUUUCUUCUUUUUUUUUCCAUUUGGGGAAAUGUUUUUACUUUUACUUUUACUUUUACUUUCACUCUUCAGGUAGGGACAACUAGUGAUUCUUUGUAAGAGUAGGAAGAUAAAAAAAAAAAAACAAAAAUAACAUCAUGGUUUUAUUUUAUUGCAUCAUGGUUUUAAUUUAUUGUUAAUUGUUAAUUCCUUCUUUUCAUAAGAUGACAUGUUUAGUUGGCUAAAAGAAAAGUAGGGAAGGUAAUAUUCUGGCGUAUUAUCAGUUGUUUAAUUUGUGAAGGUAAAUAUAAGAACCGUAUGUUUGGUUUAUAAUUGAAAUGGAAUUGGAUUGUAUUUUAUAAUUGAAAUGGAAUUUGAUUGUAUUGGCAUGGGUAAUGAAACAACGAAUUAUUCAAAAUAUUUGAUGUAUUAUUAUUGGAACAGAAAUCAGAAUGAAUAUUUAGAAUUUUGAAAGAAAAUUUUGGUUAAGAAAGAGAAGAAUGAUGAAGAGAGAGGAUGCGAGGUGUUUGGCAGAGAAGGCUUUAAGUUGUUUACUUUAGAAUAGGCUAAUUUUGAAUUCAAAACAUGAAUUUGACUAUUUAUAUUUCAGAGUGGAUAAGAAAUCAGAAUUAGAUUUCUCUAAAACAAAUAACAACUAUCGAAAAUUAGAGCUCGAUUUUUAUAGAAUAAACAACAACUAUCGAAAUCAAUUCCAUAGAUAAAAUCAGUUAUAAUUAAAUCUCAUUUUUUUUUACUUGGAUUUAAAAUAUUUUAAAGUCAUCAAAAGUGGAAAGCUUAUCUAAAAUGUUAUAUUUGGUUUUAACAUUAAUUUUUGAAUUUAAAGUUAAAUUUUAACUUAAAUUUGAAUUGAAUUCAUGAAUUGACAUCAUGAAUUUAAUUUCAUAUUCUCAACUUUAUUUGUAAAUUUAAACUCAAAUUUAUAAAUUUAUAUUUUAAAUUAAAUUUUAUUUAAAUCUGAAUUCUAGUUUUAAAAUUUAAACAAUUUAAUUACACUUUACUACUAUAUUGUACUAUUUUAUUUUUUCAAAAACACCAUUACAUUAUUAUAUUUAUCAAUCUCUACAUUGUAUUAUAAUUUUUUUCUAUCUUGUAACUACUUUCUUUUCUAAUAAAUAUCACUAAAUUAUUUUUUUUUCUCAGGAAUCUCUGCAUUAU